rnacentral:lncRNA from 1 species
UUCUUGUCAGCAUUCGUGCACCAGCACUUCAAGAUCCUGAUGGCCAUGGCCGUAAACCCAUUGACCUUGUGACAGCUCUGGAUGUAAGUGGCAGUAUGACUGGCCGAAAGCUUGACCUUGUUAAGUGUGCUGUUAAAUUUGUCAUACAAAACUUGGGGGCUUCGGAUCGGCUUUCUAUAGUUACUUUCUCCACAACUGCUAGAAGUCUCUUUCCCCUCAAAAGAAUGUUUGUUGAAGGCCGUGAAAGUGCAACCCUAGCAGUCGAAUCUCUUACAGCAGUUGGUGGAACUGACAUUGCAAAAGGACUCAUCACAGGAACUAGGGUCCUUGAAGGAAGAAAGGAAAGGGACCCAGUGGCUAGCAUCAUGCUCUUAUCGGAUGGCCAAGACAACUACUGUCACAAGCCGAGCCAAAUGUUGAACAAAUUGCCUACUCCGGUAUG